GUUUUCCUUUUAACACAGUUCUAUGUCACUAUCUCAGUAAAACCUUUUCCAGCAGUAUCUGAUGACUGCUUGGCUGCAGACACCUCAGAUUUACUUCCUGUUGAUGGUUCUGCUUCACUUUCUGAUGAGCACACGCACGCGAAGCCACUACACCAUAUGCCACAUAAACCCCUGUCAUGGUUCUAGCAGGUUUCACUGUCUGGCUGCCUUGUGUGUCUGCACAGGAGCGGAAGCCAUGAGCAGCUCAGACCUCCAGCGUGCAGCGUGUGGAGCUGCUGCUCGUCCAGAGUGUGUUUACUCUGACAGGUUCCCUUUGCCAACUUCUCAUGACGGCCUAUUGGGUGUCCAGCCUCUGGUCAGCACACAGGGACACGCUGCAAACACUCCAGCCAAACCUGCCAUGCACACAUCUGGAUGCUGCUGCAUGGAAUUCUGUCUUCUCAGGGAGGCGAGGAACAGAGGCCAGGACCAUAUGCUGCGAUAUUUCCUUCUCUAAAGUAAGAUGUGCAUCUGUUUGAUAACUGUCAUGUUCAAGCCUACACACUUGUUGAUACUGAAUAGAUGCUCAAAUUAGGUGAUAUAAACGUGUACAGUGUCAUCAUGUGUUUGCACGUACAGGAUGAACAGCAUCUGUUCAGCACAUCUCCAACAUGAUCGUCCCCCUCAUCUGUUAGUUUUUAUUGUGAGCUCGCCGCUGCCUGUUGAUAUGGAUGAUGUGGCAGCGCUAAGUGUGUGCAUCCGUGCAUGGCGCUUCUGUAAAUACGCUGGGACAACAGACAUGUGGGUGAGACAAAGAGGGGACGGGAUUGUGUGAGCGAUGGUGUUUUGUGUAGGUGACGGUCCCGUGGGAAUUCCCCACGGGCGAGGUCUUUAUUUCGUGCUGCACAAACACAGCCCGCGCUCCACAGGGGAAAGCACCAGCCAGUCAGUCAAAAGCAAAGCCUUCCCUCCCCCAUCACCAUCACAGCCCUGAUGCUCACCCACAUGCGGACACGGCCAUGGGAAUGCAUGAGAGCUACAGCAGACGAUAAGAGAAGGCCUCCACAUACACAAACACAGGGGAUGGCCUCUCUCCUCCACACGCUGAGCUGUCCUCAGUGCCCUCGCUCCCUUCUGUUUAUUCAUGCCGACCCCAGUGCUGAUACCAUCUCCUUCUAUCUCAAUUACAUCAGCCAACUCCCCGUCUUCCUCAGCAAGGGCUGCUUUUCUUCCUCCCUCGGACCCCGCGUCAGUCGUCUCCUCGGGCCGGCGUAGAAACGCGCUCCAUAUUCAGCCAGUCAUAAAUAUAAGAUAAAGAUAAACAUCCACGCCGUGAUUGGCACCUGUGUCUGUGGGUUCAAGGCGCGGGUCUGGCGGUUUUGGAAGACGGAACAACAAAGCAACGUGAAGUUUCAGACAAAUACGACACGGGUAUGAAAACAAACAGCGCGGGAAAUGAUUGGGCGCUUGCGUCCCGUUGCAUCACCAACCCUGGCAGCUCCACAUAACAAGCAGCCAUGGUCACACGUUACAAACUAUACCAUGUGCAAAGCGCCGCGUGAUGUAAUUUGACAAACACCAGGCAAGACGCAACAAUGCCCGUGAAAUACGAUUUAUCACUUGCGCUCUUGGAUGCGUGCUCGUGUAAUUACACGUUUCCCCUUCUCAUAGUUUAAUAAUAAUUUCUAAAGCCUGGAAAAUUCCUAAAUACUCCGCACCUGCUGAGGCAACCCGUUCGGCGCGUCGCGGAGUGAAGGAGUGGGCUCUCAGCGUGUCGUAAAUCACUUUUACGGCGCCGCUGUGAGGCCUCGGGAGCAGCUGAGGACUCGUCUUGCUCACCGCUGUCCCGCUGCAUCAUCCCCGCGCCGCCGUCGUAGCCGCUCUGCGCAGUGGUUCAUCACGGUGGACAAACGGGCCGGUGCUCGCGUCCCCGGCCGCCUUCCAUCACGUGCUGCGCUCCGCGCUCUCCGGUCAAGUGCUCCCAUUGUGCCUCCCACACAGCCUUAAGCUUAAUGAACUGCCUUUUGAAAUAAGCCUCUGCAGGAUCUCUUUAAAAUAUGUAACAGUCAAAUUACUUGUAAUAAUGAUUAACGCUGACGUGGGCUGUGUUGUCACAUGUAAUUUAUUAUUCCUCUGUGUUAAAUAAUUAGCCUAUUGCUUGCUGAAAUAGGUACUUUGGUAAAUUGGACCUGAUUGCACAUAAUAAAUAAUUGCAGUUAUUGUUUACA
rnacentral:lncRNA from 1 species